GCCAUUUCGCUUUCCCUUCCAGCUCCUUCAAUCGCUGAAAGCCAAAGGACCAAUGGAGGAAACCCAGCAUGUCUUUUCUUAGUAAGACUAACACAGAAAAUGGGUCGGAUUUCUAGCGUAUAUCCAGAAGAAUGGCUCUUCAGAGGCUGAACUCUGCAACCCUUAAAGGCAAUGGCUAUGUUAAGCAGCCCCUAAGGAUGGCGAGAGAUCACCUUCGUUUUAAAAGCACCUCUACAGAGAAUGUCAAAGCAAGCUAAAGGGAAGCAGCUGUUACUGUUCUCCCCCUGUUGUAGGGUGCAUCUAGCCCCACGGUAAGCCAGAACUGCCUGACGCCACUGAGGUGAUCUGCUGAUGCACAGCGUGGAGUUGCAUCUGUCAGCCUUAUCCUCAUCCUUGUUCAUCUCUACCUGGGAAAGGCUUCUGUUUCAAUGAACUUUUCUUGACAAAAACAAAAGAAAAACAUGCUAUCAGAACUGGUCAGAAACUUUGCAAGUUUGCUGCGUACAUGUCUGUCCGUACUACUGUUUUUCCAUGUCUGUGCUGGUGUGAACUAAUAGAUUGUAAUAAGUAUAAAUCAGUACAUGCUUACAUUUCUUGUACGUCUUCAAACAGUCUGUCCCCUAACUCAAACAUGUAAAAGAGAAUAAAUAUCAGGCUCUGACUUAAUGGACUGUGUGG
rnacentral:lncRNA from 1 species